AAUACACUCUACUUCUCAUCAUAUAAGUUUUUGUGGUUUAGGACUAUGUAAUGACUGAAACUUAUGGAAUUGUAUCGAUGGAGAGUACGACAUUUGACGGCUUAUAUACUGGUUCAGCUGAAAAGUUUUCUCUAUGCAUUGAAGCUCAGAUAGUUAUUAUAGAGAAUCCAAGGCCUCUUCCUCCAAAUCAAUUGGGGAAAUAUGGAUUCGUGGGCCCAAUAUGAUGCAAGGUUCGGGCGUAAAGGGAAGUUGACUCCACAUUUUAUCGAAUCUUAUGAGAUUUUAGAGUGAGUUGGACCAAUGACCUAUUGAUUAGCCUUGCCGCUAGAGAUGGAACACAUCCAUAAUGUUUUCCAUGUGUCGAUGCUUAUAAGGUAUCGUUUAGACCCGUCAUAUGUCAUUCUGUUGGAGAAGAUCGAAUUAAAUCAAGAUAUGAAUUAGGAAGAGGAACCAACAAGGAUUUUAGAUCGAGAGGUCAAAGAAUUGAAGAAUAAGCAAAUUCUGUUGGUAAAAAUCUUGUGGAGGAACCAUGGGGUGGAGGAACCGACUUGGGAGACCGAAUAAGACAUGCAACUCCAGCAUCUCUAUUCAGUGCAAGAGGUGGGUGAAAGCUCAAAGGUGAGGGGCAAAAAGAUAAUGGUGCUUGGGUGAGCUUUGUGUGGAUUUGUUAGCUUCUAGUUGGAAGGUUUAUAGGUGCCAGCUGAGGAGCUCAUCGUCAGAUUUGAAUUUCCAGACUCGUCCUUCUUUUCAGAGUAUAUCUAGAUUAUUGUAG